AGUCGAGCGAGGAAAUUCCUUCGGGAAUUUCCUAGCGGCGGACGGGUGAGUAACACGUGGGCAACCUGCCUGAUAGAGGGGGAUAGCCUCCCGAAAGGGAGAUUAAUACCGCAUAAAGUCAAAUGAAGGCAUCUUCAAAUGACCAAAGGAGUAAUCCGCUAUCAGAUGGGCCCGCGGCGCAUUAGCUAGUUGGUGAGGUAACGGCUCACCAAGGCGACGAUGCGUAGCCGACCUGAGAGGGUGAUCGGCCACAUUGGGACUGAGACACGGCCCAGACUCCUACGGGAGGCAGCAGUGGGGAAUAUUGCACAAUGGGGGAAACCCUGAUGCAGCAACGCCGCGUGAGUGAUGAAGGCCUUCGGGUUGUAAAGCUCUGUCUUCAGGGACGAUAAUGACGGUACCUGAGGAGGAAGCCACGGCUAACUACGUGCCAGCAGCCGCGGUAAUACGUAGGUGGCAAGCGUUGUCCGGAUUUACUGGGCGUAAAGGGAGCGUAGGCGGAUACUUAAGUGGGAUGUGAAAUACCUGGGCUUAACUUGGGUGCUGCAUUCCAAACUGGGUGUCUAGAGUGUUGGAGAGGAAAGUGGAAUUCCUAGUGUAGCGGUGAAAUGCGUAGAGAUUAGGAAGAACACCAGUGGCGAAGGCGACUUUCUGGACAAUAACUGACGCUGAGGCUCGAAAGCGUGGGGGAGCAAACAGGAUUAGAUACCCUGGUAGUCCACGCCGUAAACGAUGGGUACUAGGUGUAGGGGGUAUCGACUCCCCCUGUGCCGCCGUUAACACAAUAAGUACCCCGCCUGGGGAGUACGGUCGCAAGAUUAAAACUCAAAGGAAUUGACGGGGGCCCGCACAAGCAGCGGAGCAUGUGGUUUAAUUCGAAGCAACGCGAAGAACCUUACCUAGACUUGACAUCUCCUGAAUUACUCUUAAUCGAGGAAGUUCUCCCUUCGGGGAGGACAGGAAGACAGGUGGUGCAUGGUUGUCGUCAGCUCGUGUCGUGAGAUGUUGGGUUAAGUCCCGCAACGAGCGCAACCCUUAUUGUUAGUUGCUACCWUUUAUUGAGCACUCUAGCAAGACUGCCGUGGUUAACGCGGAGGAAGGUGGGGAUGACGUCAAAUCAUCAUGCCCCUUAUGUCUAGGGCUACACACGUGCUACAAUGGCGAGUACAAAGAGACGCAAAGCCGCGAGGUGGAGCAAAACUUAUAAAUCGCUAGCGGAUUAGGCUACUCGCCGCAUGAACUGGAGUUGCUAGUAAUCGCGAAUCAGAAUGUCGCGGUGAAUACGUUCCCGGGCCUUGUACACACCGCCCGUCACACCAUGAGAGUUGGCAAUACCCGAAGUCCGUAGCCUAACCUUUUAGGAGGGCGCGGCCGAAGGUAGGGUCAGCGAUUGGGG
rnacentral:rRNA from 1 species